AUUGAACGCUGGCGGCAGGCCUAACACAUGCAAGUCGAGCGGUAACAGAGAUAGCUUGCUAUCUGCUGACGAGCGGCGGACGGGUGAGUAAUGCUUGGGAAUAUGCCUUGAGGUGGGGGACAACAGUUGGAAACGACUGCUAAUACCGCAUAAUGUCUACGGACCAAAGGGGGCUUCGGCUCUCGCCUUUAGAUUGGCCCAAGUGGGAUUAGCUAGUUGGUGAGGUAAUGGCUCACCAAGGCGACGAUCCCUAGCUGGUUUGAGAGGAUGAUCAGCCACACUGGGACUGAGACACGGCCCAGACUCCUACGGGAGGCAGCAGUGGGGAAUAUUGCACAAUGGGCGCAAGCCUGAUGCAGCCAUGCCGCGUGUGUGAAGAAGGCCUUCGGGUUGUAAAGCACUUUCAGUCAGGAGGAAAGGUUAGUAGUUAAUACCUGCUAGCUGUGACGUUACUGACAGAAGAAGCACCGCUAACU
rnacentral:rRNA from 1 species